rnacentral:misc_RNA from 1 species
AACAUCGCGCACCUGCGGGAACCUGCGGAGGGAUCAUUAACGAAUAACUAUGGUGUUGGUUGUAGCUGCCUCCUCGGAGGAAUGUGCACGCCCGCCAUUUUUAUCUUUCCACCUGUGCACCGACUGUAGGUCUGGAUAACUCUCGCCUCACGGCGGAUGCGAGGAUUGGCGUUCGCGUCUUUCCUCGAACUUCCAGGCUCUACGUCUUUACAAACCCCAAUAGUAUGAUAUAGAAUGUAG